rnacentral:rRNA from 1 species
GACGAACGCUGGCGGCGUGCCUAAUACAUGCAAGUCGAACGCUUCUUUCCUCCCGAGUGCUUGCACUCAAUUGGAAAGAGGAGUGGCGGACGGGUGAGUAACACGUGGGUAACCUACCCAUCAGAGGGGGAUAACACUUGGAAACAGGUGCUAAUACCGCAUAACAGUUUAUGCCGCAUGGCAUAAGAGUGAAAGGCGCUUUCGGGUGUCGCUGAUGGAUGGGCCCGCGGUGCAUUAGCUAGUUGGUGAGGUAACGGCUCACCAAGGCCACGAUGCAUAGCCGACCUGAGAGGGUGAUCGGCCACACUGGGACUGAGACACGGCCCAGACUCCUACGGGAGGCAGCAGUAGGGAAUCAUCGGCAAUGGACGAAAGUCUGACCGAGCAACGCCGCGUGAGUGAAGAAGGUUUUCGGAUCGUAAAACUCUGUUGUUAGAGAAGAACAAGGACGUUAGUAACUGAACGUCCCCUGACGGUAUCUAACCAGAAAGCCACGGCUAACUACGUG